CAACAGUCAGAGAUGAGCUUUGGGAAGGUGGAGGCAGAGCUGAGCAGUCGCAGGGAAAAUCAGGACGCACCUCCAGGCCUCGCCAGGUACCCUCAUGUGGCGUUCCUGGCACAGCCUGGUGGUCCAGAAUUGGCCAGCGGAAAGUUAUGAAUUGUCUCCAAGGGAAGGGAAGAAAAAGAAAGGGAAGAGAAGGAAGAAAGCUGAGUAUUUCAAUCUACAGGCUAACGUCCCUCAGCGCAUGCCCCGCAGCUGGAGGGCAGAACAUGUGUAUUUCAGCAAACCGGGUACCAGUUGUUUGGCCUCAGAAGUCACAGCGUACUCUCUCUGUGCCGUCUUGGUUGAGGCGAUUCCUAGUCUGCAUAGCACGCUUGGAAUCUACUCAGCGUCCCCUGGAGUCUCUGUUGUGUCGUGUCUGGUGCCCUCGCCUACCGCGAAGGGUGCUCACGGGGAGCACGGAAGCCGGAGAAACUCACCUCUUACCUAAGUGGUGGGGACCGUGGAGGGAAACACCCUUGAGACAUUGCGGCAGGCAGCGGGCCAGCCUCUCCUGCUGAAUCACUGGCAGGGUUUCCCCAAAGCCAGUUAAUAAACAACUUCCCACUGACUCAGGGCCUGUGGGGCUUUCACUGGUCCGUGGUGACUGGGAAAAGUCACCUGGCUGGCUUUGUCUUAUAUUUUGAAAGCGGCUUUGGUCUGCUCACUGUAUCACCUGUUAAGGGUCUUCUGGGGCACUGUCCUGUUGCAGGGGGUUUUAGGAGGCAGUGACCAGUGAGUGAUCUGAGCUGUGUUCUGGGUGAGUUCGAAAUAGAACAAAAUCAUAUCAGGGCUGACAUUAUAAAUCAGUUCAUCUCUGCUUCUUGAACUUACCUAGAAAAACAGGUUUGAAAGGUACAGGAAAUAAGUCUGUCAGGAUUACCCAUGAAAAGAGUUUGAAAGUCUGUGUCAUCACCCUGGACAACCCUCACAGUCCCCGGUGCUGGGAAAAAAGCAGGGAUCUGCUUGUCUUUUACCCGCUCUUCUUUGAUUCUCAAGGCCACGUUGAAGUUGUGUUUUGUUCUGGAAAAUCUCCUGGCCGCCACAGACGCGUUUGCUCUUCUUGACCACUGUUUCUCCCCCAUAGGCAAUUUUUAAAAAAUCAUUUAUUUGGUAACUUGCCUGUAAGGAAAACAACCUUUAAAAUGGCACUGAUGCGAUGUACCAGACAGACACCUUCCUGCAUGUUUGCAAGAAUCAACCUGUCUAACCCUUAGCGCAGUGAAGUGACAUCACCUCCAUUGUAUAAGUAAGGACACACAGAUAACAGGGACACACAGAUAACAUUGUAUUUGUGCUACUGACAUUGUACGGUCCCCUCCCACCUGGCCUGGAAGCUCCUCAAGAACUGGGAGCUUAUGUCUUAUCUCCUUGGCAUCUUGGUUUCCGCCAGAAGGAACUCCAAGGAGCAACUCAUUGGAGAGAGUCCCUAAUUUUGCUACUGUUCUCAUAAAGAUAGAACCUUGAACCUGAGCACCUGUCACCAGGAUUCAGGCCAUCCUUCAGUCCUGGAAAAUUUGAA